GCUUGCUGCUGCUUUAUGGAUUUUUUAGAAUGCUAUGCAUUAUUAAAUUAGUAAUUUGGCAACUUUCAAUGGUUUGGAGCUUUAGUGCACCGUGUGGACCUUUAGUACUGUAAAGUACAUUAAGCAUUGCUGAUGACUAUGCUCAGAUAAUCCCAAGAUAAUAUGACUUAAAAUUAACAAAGAAGAACCAAACAAAAACCUUCAACUCUACUUCCAGUUUACCGGCAAGAGCUAAAAAUACAUAUUUGCUGAAAUGGAAAUUGAUGUAUGAGAGAAAACAUUGGUUUGCUGUCCUGGUUGCUAACGCCACCCUUGUGAUUAGUCCACCACGGAGGAUGUAGGCUGCAGCCCAGCAGGAAGGAGGCAAUUAGCACGGGGUCUCUCUUCGUGGCAGGCGGCCAGCGAGAACAAACUGGAGGAGAGGCUGUACUCGGUGCUGUCGCAAGAUCGAAGAAGAUGGAGGUACAUAGCUGCCAACCCCGGAUUCGGGACGGAACCCACCGACUGACUGACUCUCUUCCUUGGCCAAUUUCAUGAGGAAUCUCAUAUUACAAUGCGAUCCCAGAGUGAAUGGCUCAGAGCAACACAUGCACUUAUGUAGUUCCACACAUCUAUACAAGAAUCCCAGAGUUGCUGUCAGUUUCACAGUAACAGCAACUGUUGACAGUUUUGCUGUCAGUACUUCAGAUAAUCUGGUACAAUAUUUCACAACAAUAUCUUUUCUUUAGAUAAAAGCCAAGUCAAAAUGAUUUCCCUUUUCUCCCUUUUGCUGCUCAAUAUUUAAUUUGAUUUUGUUAUGGUUGUGG